rnacentral:lncRNA from 1 species
AUGCAGAUUGCUAAACCCAUCUCACAGGGCUGUCUUCUGCAUUUAAAGAAUAAAAUAACACAUGAGGGGUCUAGGCGUCUAUCAAUGUUUCUGACCCACUUAUUUUUUAUUAAUCCUUUCCCUACACCUAAUACUCUAACUAACCUUUUGGAUUCUCACUUAAUGAGAAAAAGCAAAAUUAAUUUGAGCAGCUUUGCUAUGAACAUUUGCAAGUGGUUUCAGUUUGGGAAUUCGCCUUCAUGGAGAAGAGUGGGUGGAUCUACAAGGCACACACCAUUUCUUUUCUUUUUUGAGACGGAGCGAGACUCCGUCGCCCAGACUGGAGUGCAGUGGCACAAUCUCGGCUCACUGCAAACUCUGCCUCCCAGGUUCAAAUGAUUCUCCUGCCUCAGCCUCCCGAGUAGCUGGGAUUACAGGUGACCACCACAUGCCUGGCUAAUUUUUGUAUUUUUAGUAGAGAUGGGGUUUCACCAUGUUGGCCAGGCUGGUCUCAAACUCUUGACCUCAGGUGAUCUGCCUGCCUUGGCCUCCCAAAGUGCUGGGAUUAUAGACGUGAGCCAUCACACCUGGUCUAUUUUAUUCUCCAGUUUUAUUGAGGCUAUUUUUUCUCCAGCUAUUAUUGACAAAUAUAAAUUGUAUAUAUAUAAGGUGUAAAACCUAAUUUCUUGGGACAGGGUCUUCCUAUCACCCAGCUGAGUGCAGUGUAAUGAUCAUAGCUCCUCACUGUGACCUCGACUUCCUGGCCUCAAGCAAUCCUCCUGCCUCAGCCUCCCAAAGUGCUUAGAUUACAGGCAUGAGUCACCAUGGCUGGCCUUGAUGUUUUGAUAUAUGCACACAUUGUUAAAUGAUUACCAGAACCAAGUUAGUUAACAUAUACAUCACCUCACAUAGUUACCAUUUCCUUUUUUGAGAUGAAAUAAAAUCAACCUUUUUUUUUUUUUUUUUCCAUUUGGAUUUAUUGUACUUCUGGUUGUUAUCUGCAAGGCUUUUUGCCAGAAGGAAAUAUGGAGAAUGUGAAGUGUGAAAAGCAGGCUUCCCGCU